CUUUGCGCUCACGUGACCUCCGUUCGCCUGGUAACAGCGAAAGCGUCGCUCAUGGAGGAGCUGCAGGCGAGGAGCCGCUGAAGAUUUACAGCCGAGACGGAUCACGAUGCGAGAUAAAUCUUUCGUUCACGUACUUUCAGACAGCUCGGACAUCACACACACCCAUGCGAAUCGUUCACAAUAACACUGACACGCUGACAGGGAUAUCCGGCUAAGCGUCUUAAGGCUCGGGACGGUGAUGGAUCUAUUGGUUUGGCCAAAUAUUGCCAUACUGCAUCCUACUUGUUACCUAAUGCGAUGAGGCACUAAUGCACUUAAUAGGAUUCAGGUCGCCCUCCCUGUCUUCCUGUAGCUCUCAGAAGCAAGCUGUGUACAUACAUAACUGAACCCAAUACAUAACUGAUUACCAGCUUAUGCCAGAGACAACAUCAGCAUCUGUUCUUGGCAGAUCCCGAAAGAGUCUGAAGAUGGCUUGCGCUGUGGAGAGAUGAGUAAGAUGUCCUGAUAUCGGGUGAUUGGACACCCAUAUAAGCAUGGGGAAACUACAGAGCAAGUUCCGGAGGCGCUCGGACCUUUAUAAGGCCAAAGAGGGGGCGGAGCCCGCACCUGUGCACCAGGUAGUGCAGUAUGAACCCGCGCACACAGAUGCCAUCAACUGUGUCGUCAGCUUGACCUCUGACCUGUGCGUGUCAGGAGGGCAUGACCAGGUGAGCUGGAGAAGCUUUGAAUAGGGAGGUUUGGAGAUCAAUGAGUGUUAGUGUGGUGUUGCACAGCAGCCGAUGGAAUUGCACAAAUGAUUGACCCUUCGCUAAGCUCCACCCACCUUGGUUAUUGUGGCUAACUCAUUAAGUGGCUCUAAACUGAUUGGAAUGAAUUGUGGCUUUGCAAAGCAUUUUAUCAUUUGUUUACCUUUAAAGAAAUUUGCAAAUGCGAUAUAAAACCGUGC
ensembl:lncRNA